rnacentral:rRNA from 1 species
UACGUAGGGCGCAAGCGUUUGUCCGGAAUUAUUGGGCGUAAAGGGCUCGUAGGCGGUUUGUCGCGUCGGGAGUGAAAUCCACUGGCUUAACUGGUGGCUUGCUUUCGAUACGGGCAGACUGGAGGUAUGCAGGGGAGAACGGAAUUCCUGGUGUAGCGGUGAAAUGUGUUGAUAUCAGGAGGAACACCCAUGGCGAAGGCAGUAGACUGGGCAUCUCCUGACGCUGAGGCGCGAAAGCGUGGGUAGCAAACAGG